rnacentral:lncRNA from 1 species
GUGCUAAUGCAACAUGUUCAAAGACCAUUAUUAACUUUUGGUCCUAAUGCUUCAAUUUAGCUCAGAACUAGCCCAACUACGUGCAGGUACACAACUGUGGAGAUAAUAACGGGUCAUUAUGGUGGUUGUGGUGAGGUUUCUCGGCGGUUAAGGCGGACUGCAUGCAGCUAUUUAAGGUGCUUUUCAGCUUUGCUUUACUAAAAUUUUGACGGACACGACUAAAUAGACUGAGUCUCCUGUACAUAUAAGAGCGUUGUUUCCAGGCUUAAUAGUGGGCUUGCUGCUAGCAAAGAAGAUUUGCAGAAGGCAGAUUCUACAGCCAGGGAAGUGUUAUAAAUGGGUCAGGUCAUCCGAUUGAUUCAUUAACUUGGUCGGUUUAGUUUAUCAUCGUGUAAGGUCUGAGAUUAUACGGUGGAGGGUGAUUGGGAUUACCGUUUGGGGUGAAUGUGUAGGAUAAUGUCUAUACCGUAACGAGGUUGUGCGUGUUCGGGUAUAUCAAGUGUGCAAUAACUUAACAGUUACGUAAAGCACUUCGAUUUGUGUGGGGGCAUAUAUUUGUUUCGGCUAUAAUAUUUCUUUUAUAAGGCUUCCAUUAGAUUUCUUUCAUCAGUUGACUUGGUUCAGUUACUUGAACGAUUAUUUCAACAAUUUUAAGUUGUAUAUUUGUGUGUUAGUCCACCCGCGAAACUCGCGGGAUCUUAGACUAGUUAAAUAUAUAUACUUAUAUAUUUAUGUUAGGAAAAUGUAUCUUGAAAUAUACCUCGCAUUAUAUAAAUAAAGUAAUGCAUGCUAUAUUUCUAUAUAUUUAACUUCAAAAACAUCAUACGUGUAAAAUUAAAAGAUGGUUUCGUGUCCCGACCAAGUAUAUGUACCUAUCCUUAAAAUAUAUAUAUAU